rnacentral:rRNA from 1 species
GAUGAACGCUGGCGGCGUGCCUAAUACAUGCAAGUCGAGCGAACAGACGAGGAGCUUGCUCCUCUGACGUUAGCGGCGGACGGGUGAGUAACACGUGGAUAACCUACCUAUAAGACUGGGAUAACUUCGGGAAACCGGAGCUAAUACCGGAUAAUAUAUUGAACCGCAUGGUUCAAUAGUGAAAGACGGUUUUGCUGUCACUUAUAGAUGGAUCCGCGCCGCAUUAGCUAGUUGGUAAGGUAACGGCUUACCAAGGCGACGAUGCGUAGCCGACCUGAGAGGGUGAUCGGCAACACUGGAACUGAGACACGGUCCAGACUCCUACGGGAGGCAGCAGUAGGGAAUCUUCCGCAAUGGGCGAAAGCCUGACGGAGCAACGCCGCGUGAGUGAUGAAGGUCUUCGGAUCGUAAAACCCUGUUAUUAGGGAAGAACAAAUGUGUAAGUAACUAUGCACGUCUUGACGGUACCUAAUCAGAAAGCCACGGCUAACUACGUG